AGCGGAGACAUAUCACGGAAGACUUCGGUUGGAAGAGAUAUGUUUUAGCGGCGGACGGGUGAGUAACGCGUGAGCAACCUGUCCUUCACAGGGGGAUAAGACAGCGAAAGUUGUUCUAAUACCGCAUAAGACCACAUUGUCGCAUGACAGAGAGGUCAAAGGAGCAAUCCGGUGAAGGGUGGGCUCGCGUCCGAUUAGAUAGUUGGUGAGGUAACGGCUCACCAAGUCGACGAUCGGUAGCCGACCUGAGAGGGUGAUCGGCCACAUUGGGACUGAGACACGGCCCAGACUCCUACGGGAGGCAGCAGUGGGGAAUAUUGGGCAAUGGGGGAAACCCUGACCCAGCAACGCCGCGUGGAGGAAGAAGGUCUUCGGAUCGUAAACUCCUGUCCUAAGAGACGAGCAGGAGCACGGUAUCUUAGGAGGAAGCCCCAGGCUAACUACGUGCCAGCAGCCGCGGUAAUACGUAGGGGGCAAGCGUUGUCCGGAAUGAUUGGGCGUAAAGGGCGCGUAGGCGGCCGCACAAGUCUGAAGUGAAAGUCCCGCUUUCAAGGUGGGAAUUGCUUUGGAAACUGUGCAGCUUGAGUGCAGGAGAGGUCAGUGGAAUUCCCAGUGUAGCGGUGAAAUGCGUAGAGAUUGGGAGGAACACCAGUGGCGAAGGCGACUGACUGGACUGUAACUGACGCUGAGGCGCGAAAGUGUGGGGAGCAAACAGGAUUAGAUACCCUGGUAGUCCACACUGUAAACGAUGAAUGCUAGGUGUAGGAGGUAUCGACCCCUUCUGUGCCGCAGUUAACACAAUAAGCAUUCCGCCUGGGGAGUACGGCCGCAAGGUUGAAACUCAAAGGAAUUGACGGGGGCCCGCACAAGCAGCGGAGCAUGUGGUUUAAUUCGACGCAACGCGAAGAACCUUACCAGGUCUUGACAUCCAUUUAAGAGACUGUAGAGAUACAGUGUGAGCUGCUCGAAAG
rnacentral:rRNA from 1 species